rnacentral:rRNA from 1 species
UGCCUAAUACAUGCAAGUCGAGCGCGGGAAGCAAGCAGAUCUCCUUCGGGGGUGACGCUUGUGGAACGAGCGGCGGACGGGUGAGUAACACGUGGGCAACCUACCUGUAAGACUGGGAUAACNCCGGGAAACCGGGGCUAAUACCGGAUGAUACAUAUCGUCGCAUGACGAGAUGUUGAAAGGCGGCAUAUGCUGUCACUUACAGAUGGGCCCGCGGCGCAUUAGCUAGUUGGUGAGAUAAAAGCUCACCAAGGCGACGAUGCGUAGCCGACCUGAGAGGGUGAUCGGCCACACUGGGACUGAGACACGGCCCAGACUCCUACGGGAGGCAGCAGUAGGGAAUCUUCCGCAAUGGACGAAAGUCUGACGGAGCAACGCCGCGUGAGUGAUGAAGGUUUUCGGAUCGUAAAACUCUGUUGUUAGGGAAGAACAAGUGCCAUUCGAAUAGGUUGGCACCUUGACGGUACCUAACCAGAAAGCCCCGGCUAACUACGUGCCAGCAGCCGCGGUAAUACGUAGGGGGCAAGCGUUGUCCGGAAUUAUUGGGCGUAAAGCGCGCGCAGGCGGUCCUUUAAGUCUGAUGUGAAAGCCCACGGCUUAACCGUGGAGGGCCAUUGGAAACUGGGGGACUUGAGUACAGAAGAGGAGAGUGGAAUUCCACGUGUAGCGGUGAAAUGCGUAGAGAUGUGGAGGAACACCAGUGGCGAAGGCGACUCUCUGGUCUGUAACUGACGCUGAGGUGCGAAAGCGUGGGUAGCGAACAGGAUUAGAUACCCUGGUAGUCCACGCCGUA